AGUGAACGCUGGCGGUAGGCCUAACACAUGCAAGUCGAACGGCAGCACAGUAAGAGCUUGCUCUUACGGGUGGCGAGUGGCGGACGGGUGAGGAAUACAUCGGAAUCUACUUUUUCGUGGGGGAUAACGUAGGGAAACUUACGCUAAUACCGCAUACGACCUACGGGUGAAAGCAGGGGAUCUUCGGACCUUGCGCGAUUGAAUGAGCCGAUGUCGGAUUAGCUAGUUGGCGGGGUAAAGGCCCACCAAGGCGACGAUCCGUAGCUGGUCUGAGAGGAUGAUCAGCCACACUGGAACUGAGACACGGUCCAGACUCCUGCGGGAGGCAGCAGUGAGGAAUAGUGGACAAUGGGCGCAAGCCUGAUCCAGCCAUACCGCGUGGGUGAAGAAGGCCUUCGGGUUGUAAAGCCCUUUUGUUGGGAAAGAAAAGCAGGUUAAUACCCCGCUGUUCUGACGGUACCCAAAGAAUAAGCACCGGCUAACUUCGUG
rnacentral:rRNA from 1 species